rnacentral:RNase_P_RNA from 1 species
GAAGCCUGCCAGACAAUCGCUGCUCAUGCAUGCAUGAGGGGAGGAAAGUCCGGGCUCCACAGGGCAGGGUGCCAGGUAACGCCUGGGCGGCGCAAGCCGACGACUAGUGCAACAGAGAGUAUACCGCCGAUGGCCGCUUGCGGCACAGGUAAGGGUGAAAGGGUGCGGUAAGAGCGCACCGCGUGGCUGGUAACAGGCACGGCGAUGGUAAACCCCACUCGGAGCAAGACCAAAUAGGAAUCCAAUGGCGUGGCCCGCGCUGGAUUCGGGUAGGUCGCUAGAGGUGCGCGGUGACGUGUACCCAAGAGGAAUGAUCACCCUCGACAGAACCCGGCUUACAGGCU